GCGUAGGUGGUGUAACGAUUAUCAUAUGCUCCCGGAAAGAGUGAGACCUGGGUUCGAAUCUCGGCUGACACA